rnacentral:rRNA from 1 species
CCUACGGGGUGCAGCAGUGAGGAAUAUUGGUCAAUGGCCGAGAGCCUGAACCAGCCAAGUAGCGUGAAGGAUGACUGCCCUACGGGUUGUAAACUUCUUUUAUAAAGGAAUCAAGAGAGGCACGUGUGCCUUUUUGUAUGUACUUUAUGAAUAAGGAUCGGCUAACUCGGUGCCAUCAGCCGCGGUAAUACGGAGGAUCCGAGCGUUAUCCGGAUUUAUUGGGUUUAAAGGGAGCGUAGAUGGGUUUUUAUGUCAGUUGUGCAUGGUUGGGACUCAACCGUCAAAGUGGAAUUGAUACUGGACGGCUUGAGUACAGUAGAGACAGUAGGAAUUCGGGG